GGGGGAAAACGAGGCGCUGGGCAGUUGGCUCUUUCAAUUGCAAAAGGCGAAUCGGUCAAGGCAUUCACCGCCCCAGGCAUAUGUCUUGCGGCUCAGAGCCCUCAGUCCCAACAAAACUGCCCAAGAGUUUGGGGUAUUAUCCAUGCCGCAAUACGCAAAUUGGUAUCCCACCUAGCUAGAUGGUGGGAACCAAUGACGCAAAGCAUGGGCUUGCAACAGGUAUAACGCUUGCAAUCAGGGGGAAGAAGUAUACUUGCAAUACCCCUUGUUUACGUCGCAGCAUGGCUACUCGUAUAUCACCCAGUAUUAUCUGGCCCUGAUAACAAAAGGAGGGCCGAAGUCAAGCCGCCGUUAAGUUUGCCAAGGUCACCAACAACCAACAAAACGACCAACUGACUCGGGCCCAGUCGCUCAUAUAUAGACGUUGCUCACGGUUGUGUCUCGCGUGCUUGCAACGUUUGGCGACGUGCACCCCCCAAAGGAAUAUUCCAUAACCCGCACCGUACUUCGUUACCCCAAAAACACACCUACAAACCGUAACAGGAGAAACCACGUCUUUUCACCUUAAUACAUUGCGAGAAUACCAAUGCUGCGCCUGCCAACACCACAAUCCAAAACAGGUUACUGCUAAAACUCGCAGCAGCUUUCAGUUCGCUUUCACUUCGCUUUCACUUCUUGCCGAACAGACCGCCUAGCAGGCCCGACAGCGGGUUGCCGCCACCGGACUUGGGCGCCUCCUCCUCCUCCUCCUCCACCACUACCACCUGCACACGCAACCGCUAUCGGACUCAGUCCCGCUAUCGUUAAGGAGGUAUUGGAGCAGCAAUUACAAUCACCCAGUUAUCACCGUUACCUUGUCACUGGCUCUCGUGCCGACGGGCCCUUACCUCCUCACGUGCGGCUCGCUUCGGUGCUGGGGGCGGCGGAGCGGAGCGCUGCUCAGCCUGUGCCGACCGGCCGCCCUGCUUGGCCUCCUUGCGGCCGAACGUCUGCAUCAGGCGUUCACGCUGCAAUGGACACGGCACAGCAACCACACGGUAUGAGAGAAGGGACUGUGAAGAAGAGCAGUGUAACUGAGUUAUCAAGAAGGAUGCCAUGUCCAUCUCAUGCACUGUAUAUUACGAGGCCCCAGGAGUACAGGGAGAGAUGGUUUAACAAAAGAUGGCUGCGUUUGGAUGUUCCGCAAAACGCCUGGUAGUCAUUGCACCUGCCUUGGUAUUCGGUAAGUACAAUCCUAGACCUGGCCCCGCGCCAUUUCCACGCCACAACGGUGCCCGUACCUUGGCGCGCCGCUCAGCAAGCAACUCCUGCUGCGCUUGCCAUUGCGCCUCCUUUUUGCGCUCCGCGUCCUCCUUACUGCAGCAGGGGGCACAGCCGUGUCUUAGCGCAGGGAGUUGAGUGGACGCGAGGAAUGCUCUUCGGAAGUUCCGCCGUGGCGAUGAGUGAGCAAUUUUCCAUUCAGAUCUCCCGCAACUUUAGAGAUGAAUGACGUUGUGCCACAAACGUAGGCUGGCGAAAGGCAUCGCAUCCUGUGGCUAGCCAAGCCGGGAGAUAUUAGGUUUGCUUGCGUGGCACCUUUCGACGAGACCGAAUAUGUCUUUCCCCACCCCGGUAAUUACAAGUCGCCUUAUUUUCUCCAGAGCUCCCAGAUCACUUACUUGCCACCGAAGAGAGCACGAACGCUCACGGCUUUGCGGCUAGAGCGGGCAACCGCUGGCCUGCAUAUGCACGAUCACUCAGAUGAUCAGUAGCUAAAGCUGUAGAAUACGAACUCGGCACUCGCCAUCUUGCCUGUUGGCGCAGGUGCCAAGAGAGACCCUGGACGCAAGCAUGCUCGGUGUCGGUAGACGUCGGACCAAGAGGGAGUGCGGAGAGAUAAGAUAUGCUGCAAUAGUGCUGUAAUGUACAAAAUAAUCGAGUAUGCAGGUCUGAUAUGGACUGUGUGUGGAAUGCCAAAUGUUUAUGAAUUUGGGAGGAGUACGGCAAACAUUGGUCAAAGUGUCGGGCCAG
rnacentral:lncRNA from 1 species